rnacentral:rRNA from 1 species
CGAAAGCCUGACGGAGCAACGCCGCGUGAGGGAUGAAGGCCUCUGGGCUGUAAACCUCUUUUCUCAAGGAAGAAGAUCUGACGGUACUUGAGGAAUAAGCCACGGCUAAUUCCGUGCCAGCAGCCGCGGUAAUACGGGAGUGGCAAGCGUUAUCCGGAAUUAUUGGGCGUAAAGCGUCCGCAGGCGGUCUUUUAAGUCUGUCGUCAAAGCGUGGAGCUUAACUCCAUUACUGCGAUGGAAACUGGGAGACUAGAGUGUGGUAGGGGCAGAGGGAAUUCCCGGUGUAGCGGUGAAAUGCGUAGAUAUCGGGAAGAACACCAGUGGCGAAGGCGCUCUGCUGGGCCAUAACUAACGCUUAUGGACGAAAGCCAGGGGAGCG